rnacentral:rRNA from 1 species
GACGAACGCUGGCGGCGUGCUUAACACAUGCAAGUCGAACGGAAAGGCCCUGCUUUUGUGGGGUGCUCGAGUGGCGAACGGGUGAGUAACACGUGAGUAACCUGCCCUUGACUUUGGGAUAACUUCAGGAAACUGGGGCUAAUACCGGAUAGGAGCUCCUGCUGCAUGGUGGGGGUUGGAAAGUUUCGGCGGUUGGGGAUGGACUCGCGGCUUAUCAGCUUGUUGGUGGGGUAGUGGCUUACCAAGGCUUUGACGGGUAGCCGGCCUGAGAGGGUGACCGGCAGGAGUGGGACGGAGCGACGGCCGAGACGGAGACGGGAGCGAGGAGGGGGGAAGAGGGCAGAAGGGGAGGAAGGCGGAUGCAGCAACGGCGAGGGAGGGAGGGGGGGUGGCGGUUGGGAAAACGCUGGCUCCUGCGACGAAGCGGGAGGGACGGUAAGGGGUAAAGAAGAACCGGCUAAGCACGUG